UACGUAGGGUGCAAGCGUUGUCCGGAAUUACUGGGCGUAAAGCGCACGUAGGCGGACAUUUAAGUCAGGGGUGAAAUCCCGGGGCUCAACCCCGGAACUGCCUUUGAUACUGCAAAUCUCGAGUCCGGAAGAGGUGAGUGGAAUUCCUAGUGUAGAGGUGAAAUUCGUAGAUAUUAGGAAGAACACCAGUGGCGAAGGCGGCUCACUGGUCCGGUACUGACGCUGAGGUGCGAAAGCGUGGGGAGCAAACAGG
rnacentral:rRNA from 1 species